ACUUUCAAAAUCACCUGGGUCUGUCAAAGUUGGGUCCUGUGAAAAAUGUACACAGCUAAAUGGAGCAUAUGCUGUCAAUACAGCAGACAGGAUCUAUUACAGUAUCUGAGUGCCCCCUAGCGUAUGUAUAGUUUCUGCCUCAAAUCAAGAUUCAAUUCGGAGGAGCCUUCCGACAUGAAAACUGCCUGGGUCUCUCGUCUCUCACAGUGACCAAAGUAGCGUGCGCCCAUUUCUAACUGAUUAAUGUUUAAGAAAAUGUCUUCUUAUUGACUUGGACGUCAUCGAGGUAUGCGUGUUGGUCACUGUUUCGUCUUUUCAUAAACAUAGCCUGACCUCUGUAGGCACAGGGAUUUUUUGUAUUUUGCUUUUAAUCAUUGAUUGAUAUCGGCUGAUAAUUGGUCUCGAGCGUAACACUUUGAUUCUAAAGCAAACUGCAUGGCCUAAAUAAUAUCAUCGUCUGCAAUUUAUUGUAUUGUUUUAUUGUGGAUUCUACUUGACCACUCCAUUGGCGUUAAAGGCUUCCAGCACUGCUGCACCAUUCAGUGGUGACCUCCAGUUGACAGAUCUGCUCCUGGCUUUCCUGAGUGUCAGACUGCUGAGACAUGAAGAAGACCAUCCUGCUGACUCAGGAUCCACCUCAUCACAGAGGUCCCACUUUGGCCUUCAGCUCAUCAAUUCAAUUAAUAUGUUCAUUUCAAUAAAGCCAAAAUGGAAAAUUAUCCAUUUAAAAGUAAGGCACUUUCCAUUGAAACAAGGGAAACCCCACAUUUGUGUGGCUGAGCCAUGAAUCAUCAUACUGCAUGUGUGGCGAUUGCAUUUAGAGAGUGAUCAGAGACAUUACCAAAGACUGGAAACAUCCCAUACUCGGCACUAGAUUUAAUGAGUGCUGAGUUGUGGUAUUUACAACACUGCCAAAAAGGCUCAGCUAUGUUCAGGAAGCAUGUGAAGUGUCUGCAAUGAAAAAACAGUGUCAAACAAGAUUUGGGAACAAUUACAUAGACAGGUAGUGUAAUGUUUAUAUGAUCCCUCCAAACCAGAGCAGCUGCAGUAACCAGACCAGCAACAUGACCAUGCCCCAUGUGCUUACGUCUUUCAUCUAUUUGAGAGGCCAGUAGUUUGUUUAUCUUACAUCAGUUCUCACAAUUUAUCAUGCCUACACUGUGAAACAUUUCAACAAUUGUACUUACAUUGUGGCCAAACGUCUUGAACUUCAGAUGAACAAUUUGACAUGGCUUGUUGUUGACUAGGGUAAUCACUAGCUACCAUGCUAGCAGCUUUGGCUAUUAUGUUUCAUUGCUAUUUUAGAAGUAACCACUGUAAGUUUCUCAUUGCUAGCUAUUUGUACUAACAUUAAGGGUAGUUUGAGACAUCCAACCUUUACGGGUGUGAUGUGAUAUACUAAAUACAUUGGACAUGAAUGAGUAUAAUUUUGUAUCCGGGACAAAACAUUAUUGUGACGGUAUCAGCUAUGCAUGCCGGAGAACUUUCCGCAACACAGUUGUUGGCAAAAAUGUGGGUUUAACACGUCAUAAAUAUCACCUAUAACAGUUGAAGUAGCAGAAAUGUGGACAAAACUAGGAUGAAGCUGAAUAUCUAAAUAAUUUACUGUACCAGGCAUUGGAAAGGUAAUAUAUUGCAAGUAACUAAAGGUAUGUAAAGGUAAAGCUACAAAAUAACAAUAUUUGAAACUGUCUAGCCACCCUUGAAACUCCCACACAUCUUGUUCUAAAUGGCAGCUCUAUCAAGAUAAUCAUCUGAAUGAAUCUGUUACACCAUGACCUAUCAGGCUUGUUAUUAUUCAUAGAGACCCUUCAGGCUAAACCAAAGCAGUGAAUGAUCAGGAAGUCACCUUAUUGUCUAUACAACUCAUCAUAUCAGGUCAUGUACUGGCUAAUGCUUCAGGUCAUAUGCUUUUCUUGUUGUAACGUUCGUUAACGUUAGCACCGCUGAGCACAUGAGUAGCAGCAGAUUGCAUAGCUUUUGUCCAAGCCAUUUCCGGGUUUUGCAAGAAAUAAUGCUUUAUUCAGUUUCAAUUUAAAAAGGAGGCUUUUUAAAACUUAUUUUCAUCAGAUCAGUAGACUGUUCAAGAGUGUUAACUAAUACGACCACUUGGCCCUCUAUGGUCUAGACUUUCCUUCACGGAUGAAACAUUAGCAGAGCUCACUGCUGAGAAGGGUGUGGCUGUGGCUAUAUCCCUGGGAGAAGGGCACAGCUCCUGACAGAAAGGUAAUGCUGUUGAUACCCUCAUGUCUAGGUCUCAGCACUACCAGACCAUGGACCUCUUGCUCCCCAUUUAUCCCUCUGUCAAUUUGCAGAUCAUGCAAAAUCAAACACAAACUGAUGUGAGAAAUGUCUCAAUGUAUUUAAUCCCUGACUGAAAGUACAAGUCAGGUUGGUUUCUCUAAUGAAAUCUCACUCUACAUAAUGAACACAGUGGAAGUCAGCAUUCUCACCAUAGGUAAACAUCCAAUGACCUUAUUAUACAUUUUGACUUUGUCAGCUUCCUUUUUUAAUGAACUUAGUGUCAAUGACUAAUAUAAACUAAGGGCAUGAAUAGGAAUAUCAACAGUACACAAAUAGGAUUCAUUACAGGAUUUGGGUCACACUGCUCAUAGACUUAGGGCUCUAUUCAAUCCGCAUCGCAGAAGUUCAGCUUUACAGCGUGAAUUAAAUUUAAAGGCAAUGUUCCCGCCUCAGUGGAGACUGCAUUCACGGUAAACACUGCAUCAAUCAGAAAUUACCUUUACAGUUCUAUUGCAGAAUCUGUAGCGCUUCAGCUUACUUGUUCAAAAUGUACAAAUCAGGUCACACUUGAAAAAUGUCUUUAAACAAAGAGAAAGGCUGAACUUUGUCAAGCACCAUGUGUAGGCUACAAUACCCAUUCGGACAUAGCAGUUGUAUUUUGCAAUUGCGUAAAUUAUGUUGACCUGUAGACGAACAAAGAAUUAUGAAAAAACUUUGUACAGAAUUCCUGUGCAAUGAGUCACCUUCUCUCAUGUAAUUGUUUCCAUAUUAGACCCCACUCACCCCUUCUUGCAAGCACAUCCCUUCCAAAGGAAUACUUGUGUUAUGAUUUGUUUCCAAUCACUCUAUCCAAUUCCACCUGCUGACAAGAGGUACCUCAGGGUACAGUGUUGUUACCCUUACUAUUUGCUUACCCACAGCAGAACUCAGACACAUUCUGGAUAUGAACAAAUAUCAGGUGUUUUCCAUAUAUACAAUAAGAGUUGCAGACUGAUCACCAGAAAUAGACAGCGAUUUCAGAUUUUGAAAAGAUCCCGAGAACAAUUAUAUAUGCCUUCCUCUGUGCUCACCAAAAAAAUUAAAAAUGAUUGCCCAGCACCAGGAAUGAACUCUUGAUGCUCAGAGCUGCUCAAUUGCAGUUCACACAGAUAACUACAAAACACACAUGGCGAUUUCCGGAAGUUUAAAAAAAAGUUCAGAGAACAUUGUUAUAUGCCUUCCUCUGCACUCACCCAAGAAAUUAAAAAUGAUUGCCCAGCAUUAGAAGCGAAUUUGUGAUGCUCGGAGUAGGAGCAUGUUGCUUAAACCACUGCGCUACGGCAGUUCACAAAGCUCUAGCAAGCCACGGGAAUACCGAGAAUACGGAUUAUACCUGAUGGUAAUAGCGCGUCGUUUUAAAUUAUUUGGUUAUAAGCCUUCCCCAAACCAUAGCCCUGACCUUAACCACUCGGUAUUAAUACCUAAACUUAACCCUUUGAGUUGUUUCUGUUUCAACCCUGUAACCACGCAGAAUUAAUGUGUCAAAAAUAGAUGUUCAUACAUAUUACGUUGAAUUUCAAAGGGAAACUAUGAGAUCUUGUUAGGUCUAUAUCUGGAGGGGAUAAUCUUAUUUCUGGUCUCACUGAGUCAUUCCUUUUUGUUGUAAUGGCUAAGGUGUUGGAUUGACAAUCUCAGAGACCCAGGUUCAAGUCCCAGUAGGGCUACCACUGAAUUAGCUAUAUUGUUGUCAGAAGUGGGUUGGCACUGCUGGGAGACCCAUUGGUACGGGAGCAAGAAACUUGUGCAAAUUAAGCACAGGAAAGCACUUUCUGAAGGAAAGGCGUAGUGUAACAACCUUAGUACAACACCUACCGACUUUGUUCAUUGUUGUACAAGAUCUAUCAACUUCAUCGGUUGUUGUACAAUACAACACCUACCAACAUCGUCAAUUGUUGUUUGACAAUAUUUUCCACAUAUUUGUAGAAACCACUCAGCACCUAGGAACAGGACAGCUCUUAUAAUAAAACUGUUAUGUUUUGUUUGUGAGUCCUGUAACAAAAAAUUAUUCCAGACCUCAGCAUUACUUACACAAGGCUGUUAAAAAGGUCUUUGUCACUUUGGCACACUGCACCUACACAGUAUUUGCCAGCAGCAGCACCACCAUCAUCAUAGGAUCUACUUUCUUUCUUUCUGUUUCUUCAAGUUUGCAUUGUGCAUUAACUGUGCUGGUCAUGAGCUUGUGCCAGCUAAUGCAGGACAAAGCCCCCAUAAACUAUAACACCACUUCCUGUACGGCUCAAGGUAAAAUAGUAGCAUAAACUAUCAGACACUUCAUUAUAAUAUCGGUUUACAUAUCCAGGACACUAAAAAGUAGGGGCCAUUUCAUCAAGCUAAUUGCCUGUUUGUAAGAGGGAGCAAACUUUUCCACCAUCAGUCUAUUAUGGAGCCUGUUUCUUAAUCACAAAUAGAGCCUUUGUAUCCCAGAGGGACUUGCAUUCUAAUGUAUAAUUGAACCAAAGACCAAAGCUAUCAAUCUUUCACAGACACUUUAGUUAUUUUUUUCCUCCUUGGUGUAAUUGUGGUGACAUACAGUAACAACAAACAACACUGUGAAAAGGCUGCUUCCACAGAUCUGUGGAAAGGAUGGUAUUCCUUGUUUAUUAUGUACAGUGCUUGCAUUGUAGAGUGGAACCAGAUACCCUAUCAAUAAUAAAGAUCAAGGUGUCCAGACCUCUAUAUGACCAACUUUAAACUUUAAAAGGACAGGAACUUUGGCCUUUGGAAUCCAAGAGCAGCAAUCACUCAUCUAAGGAUCUCUAAGGGAGAGAGAAUGUUCUCUUUUGCACGGUCAAUAUUAAGUAAUGUGGUACCGCAAAAAAAAUACAAAUAUGCGAUUGGGAUUUUGGAGAAGCUUUACUAUUCUGGUGUGCAGACCAGUGUCUGAUGACAUGAAAAUGGCUGAGUUGACAACGUAGACCAACAAGACCUGUAACUGCCCCAAGGGAUUAUUAAAGUCUCCAUCAGGGUGCAGGAGGGCCUCGGUCACAUUCCUCACUGCAUUGUCACCGCCCCUGCACAACGCCUAUGGUCCCCUUGAUGCCUUUAAUGAUGAGUCUUGUCGUUAAUGAGUUAAUGCAAAACUCUCAAUGUCAUCGGUAAAGAUAAGAGAGAAGAAAGCAGAGCAUUGUACACGUAAUGACAGGCUCUCCGCCUGCCUCUGAGAUGUCACGGGUCAGCCAUGUUAAGAAUGUGUGUGCCCAAUCAUCUAGUGAUCUUUAUCUAGCUAGCCUGCAGCUAAGCAAGACAUGGGCCCAAUCAGGGGUGCUGAUGAAUGAACAAUGAGGCCCUUGAAUUGUUCUGCCUGCCACAUGACUGCUUCUAUACUAACACAUGAUGACAUUAACAAUCAAUAUACCGAUUACUGAACUUAUGGAGGAUCUCUUCAAGCCAUCGUUUGUGCUACAAGUGUUUUGUACUCAUGUACAUAAUGCAGAUAUGCUCUAUUUGACCUGAUCCACAUGAUCUUUCCAGGAUCCGAACAAUGAGUAACCAAACUCUGUUUAAUUUGCUGGUUGGCCACAGAUAUUGCUAUACAGACUGCUGUUUGAAAAUCAUCUGGAAAAGCAUGAUUUUCUCUACAUAAGGACAUUGCAGAGCUCACUCUGUAGUUUAUAUUUCCUCUCUGGCCCUAACAGUUGUUUGUUUUUGUUUUGGAGGACUGAGGGAGCCUCUUUUUGGAGGACCGAGGGAGUAUCUUGGCAGGUGCAAAUUCAAAUAAGUUUAACAGGUGAAAAGAUUGGCAUAUUAUCAAGCAACGUUUAUGUUCGGGUUUUGAAUCAGUAGUGAUUGUGUUUGUUGCGCAACCACAGGGGAAACUACAGAGUUGUCCUUAGAUGGGUCCUGGUGAAUGAUGGUGUACAAAAUGACAAAUUAGGAUCUUAGACGGCUUUUCAUGGCGUAAUGAGAUGGAAUUUAAAAGGUUAAAGGGAUGAAUUUCAGCUGUCACAGACAUCAUAAAACCUGACAAAUUGUAUUAUAACAGUCAGUGAAAUCCACACCGCACUGCCGUUUUCUUCUCUUCGAGCACUCGCUGACAUAGACUGUCUCAAAUUCAGGUCUCCAACUCCAGCCAGGCUCAGACAAAGGGCCCCUGCCAGUCCAGUGGCAUUUGUCUCGUUCAACAUUAUCUGAAAUCAAAUGCUCUAUUCUACUCCCACGAUUCCUCAUGGAACGAUCAGCCCAGCCCUAAUGUGGGAAUGUCUGUAAUCCUGACAAAAGGACACUGACAUUUAUACCCACCAGAAAUGAAUUAUAAAAGACAAGGCCAGGAUUUCUCCAGUGGCUUUGUGCAGGGUACACAAGACUGUGGACGUAUAGAUAAUGGCUCUUUAUUGUAGGGUCACCACUGCAGGUACCUGUUGAUGACAAAAAGGCAGAUCCAGUCACCAUGGACAGCUGUGAGACAGGUGACCCAGCAUGUUAACACAAAUAGGGAAUGAGUAUUAAGGGAGAAAUAUAUUCAAUGAAGCCCGAGGGACUGAUCCACAAGAGCUGGUGCCAUCAAGAUGUUGCCAAGAUUGACACAUCGUAAUCCUAGUGAGAGGGGAUAGGCCUAAUUGUUGCAUUUGUCAUAAGGAAAACAUUGUGAAUACAUAACAACAAAAGGACCAAAUAAAAAAAAACUGCCUUGGAUAUUCCAUGUCAUAGACUUCCUCUUGGCCAUUGCCUAUGGGCUCCUGAGUGGCGCAGUGGUCUACGGCACUGCAGCUCAGUGCUAGAGGCGUCAUUACAGACCCUGGUUCGAUUCAAGGCUGUAUCACAACCGGUAGUGAUUGGGAGUCCCAUAGGGCGGCGCACAACUGGCUCAGCAUCUUCCGGGUUAGGGUUUGGCCGGGGUAGGCCGUCAUUGUAAAUAAGAAUUUGUUCUUAGCUUAGUUAAAUUAAACUAAAAAAUGAUGUUGGUGUAUUUUGUAGCACUAGAAAUAGUUAGGAUAUUCAGACUGUUAUCUAACACCUUGUCACAGGGCCAGCCGUUUACCCCAUGAGAUAAUAGGCUUCAGUAAAUCCUAUAACAUGAGAUUAGGCCCUUUGACCUCACUGACGAGAAAAUGACAUUAGCUAAUGUCUGAACACUACACAACCUCUGUGUGCACUAUGUGUGACAUGGUGACGGACACAAGAUGUCACUUUAUAGGUGCACCUUCAGCAUGCUUAAGUCUACUUCAGUAUCUGAUGAAGUUUUAAACUGUUAACAUUCAUCAAUACACUGUGAUCUAAAGAGAGCUCCCUUUUCAUCCUGGAUCUGUGUGGUAGUGAUUCAGUGUCUUUCUGCUCAGAAAAAAGCCCAUUACCUGACAAGGCAAAACAACAAGGCAAAACAAUAAUGCCAAAUGAUUGUGCAACAUGUACUAAGGAACCCCUUUCUCAGAGUACAUAAUGUGGGACAAUGUCUGCUGUUUUAAAAGUGUCAGUGUAACAGGCAUUGGUGUGUUUAAGCGUUCACGGUUUGUUGUGUGGCAUCAGGGUAACUCAGUUGACUUAGCUGGUUGUCUUACAGGGUAAUAUCUUUGACUAUGUGAAAUUAUCGUCAGUGUAUGUGCCACCAGCGUGCCACACUCAAGCCAAGAGUGGUGUAAAAUGUUACCCCCUUAAAAUUGAUAGUAACCUAAUACAAACCCAUGCUAGGAUUCAUUAGAUUUGGCUGACCAUGAGCCCAAUGCCAUGCCAAUCAGUGUGUUUCUUCUUAUUUUGUUGUAUUCAGCUAACUAUCUACUAGCCCUUACCAUCACCCUAGUUUGUCAAAUUGCUGUAUAUCAACAUGGCUGUAUAUCAGCAUAGCUGUAUAUCAACAUAGCUGUAUAUCAACAUAGCUGUAUAUCAUAAUAGUUGUAUAUCAACAAAGCUGUAUAUCAACAUAGCUGUAUAUCAUAAUAGUUUUAAAUUAACAUAGCUGUAUAUCAACAUAGCUGUAUAUCAUAAUAGUUGUAUAUCAACAUAGCUGUAUAUCAACAUAGCUGUAUAUCAUAAUAGUUGUAAAUCAACAUAGCUGUAAAUCAACAUAGCUGUAUAUCAACAUAGCUGUAUAUCAUAAUUGCUGUAUAUCAAUAUAGCUGUAUAUCAACAUCGUUGUAUAUCAACAUAGCUGUAUAUCAACAUAGCUGUAUAUCAUAAUUGCUGUAGCUCAACAUAGCUGUAUAUCAACAUAGUUGUAUAUCAUAAUUGCUGUAUAUGUACAUAGCUGUAUAUCAACAUAGUUGCAAAUGUUAUACCUAUAUACUAUAAAUAGGCGACAAUCUGCAUAAAGCAGGGUAAAAUGCUAUAGGUAAAUAUUUCAUUGUAACAUUCAAUCUAAUAUUGUUUGUUGUCAGAUAUAUUUAGAAGUAAUUACAAUUAUAAGAGGCUCAAACUUUGAAAAGUGCAACACUCCUUUAGCAUAAUGUUCUCACUUCACAAUUAGAGAAAGCCCAAACAUGUUUAAAGGUAAACAAAGAGUGAAAUUCCCUCAGCCAGUGAACUCUGUGACCUGUGCAUUUUCCAUGUGACCUCACCCAGAAGAAAUGCCUUUGGUAAUUUGAAUCAAAUGGAGGUGUCAAAUGGACGUGUGCUCCCCUGGGCAGAUGUAUGUAUUUAUUUUUAUUUUUUACAAGAGUAGAAGAAACUGAUCGUUGCAGGUGUGAGGCUGACACAGGGGCUGGCUUUGCAGGCCUACACAGAGGGGAUAUCCAUUGCCUGUGUUUAAUCAGAGCCAGUGGGAUGGGAUGAGAUUCAUUGCUCUUUGAUGGAGAAACUGUUAUGAAGAUGGACAGUCACUUUGCUCUCUAAGUGAAACCAUCGUUUAGCCUCAAUUCCCAGAGAAAAGGCCCAUUUGUUAUCCACAAGGAAGAGCAGAAUGAGUGGUGGUGCUGGGUGGGUACUGCAUGCAUUUUCCCAAUUACAUUGCUCAGGCAUACAUUUUUGGUAGUAGAAAACGGACUUUCCCAAGCCAGUGUCCAGAUAGGGCACACAGUUUAACUCCUUAGCAUCAUACAACUGGAUAUUGUGGUAAAUAUGCCCCCCAUAUCUAAGUAGAAAAUCCUAGACAUGUGGGUUUUGUAUCCAAGAUAUCAAUGGGCAUAUCAUUAUCUUUAUACAUAAACAUAGACGUGAAUAGGACUGAUGAAACAUAGAAAGUUGGGACUGCACACCAAAGCUCAUUCAAACUUUUGCCAGUUGCCUGAUGAUAUGUGUCAAUGUUGAGAAAGAGGAAGAAAUCCAAUUCCGUUGUCCAGUUUAGGUAGGGGUUCAAUGGGUGCUUAAAGGGACAGUUCACUUUUCUUUCAAAUUUUAGCUAAUUUUCAACUUCCUAGGUUGUUGUUGUUUACGCCAAACCAUUUUAGCAUUUGUUUGGUUAUUUAGGAACAUCCAAAAUAAUCUGUCUAUCUUUUUUGGAGAAUAUAGCAAUGCUAGUGGAAAUUGAUUGUAUCAGUUAGCAGUGCAUUCAAAAUCAUGGGGGAAAGGAUUGGGUUAUGUCUCCCUCCAUCCACUGUGGAGGCAUAAAGUACUCUCUAUAAAAGCCUACAUUAAUACUAACGUUAAUUCCACCAUCAACCUUUUAAUUGACUAUACAAACCGAGCUUUUAUCUAAUAUACACUUAUAGUCAAGUCGUUAACACCCACAUGGCAGAGAUUAAGAUGGUUAGAGGCUGCAUAACUAACUACAAAAGAACGGACCCUGCCAAAGCCACCGACAUGGUGAGGAAGACAAGUGUAUCUGUACUCCUAAUUCCUAACCCAAUCAUCUCAGGAGAUGGGAAUUGCAUUCUGACAAGACAGCCUGCUACAUCCUUGCUCAUGGAGUUUGGCAGGGAUUCCAAUAUGCUAAACUGGGGAUUGUCAAGAAGGUUAAUAUAAGAAAAACAUCCUUAAAGUUCCAACAUGUCAUGCCAAUGAGAAGAAUUGCUAUUAUAAUGACUCUAACUAAUACAAAUGCAAAAGGAAUCAAUUAGUGUAAUUAAACCUUGUGUUGCUCAAUUUUUUUUAAGUGGAAUGACCAGCUAGUAAUCCCUAUCAUAGCAUAAUGCACACACACACCCACUUCACACGCAAGAACGCACAUGCACCUGUUUAAAUCCAAUCGUUUUUUCUUUCACGACAUCUUGACCGUUAUGCUACUGUAUUCUGUGACUGUAUUUAAAACUAUUACAACAAAGAAACUUGCAAUUUCUUAUUUUUGAUAUUAAAAUAUUUCUAAAAUAUUGUCAUCACUACUUUCUAACUAGGUGACAUGCUAACUUUUGGGGAUUGAAGCUAAACAGCCAUUCAGUAGACUACACGUUGUAGUGUUAAGGAAUGAGCCUUGGCCAAAAUAAAGAUACUCUCUAAAAAAGCUCAUAUCAAAACACCUUGAAGAGAUCACUUUCCUGUUUUGUUUUUCAAUUCCUUUUUAACACAGCUUGAUAAGCUCACUGUGAAUUUAUCUCAUGGAGUAUGGUAUUAGAGUAAAUGUAGCACUUCACACUUAUUUUGCCCUGUCUCAGCUAUCACUGUGUUGAAUUGAAUGAUAUCUCCAGCUUUGGAUGACUGAUACCAGCCUGAGCAGUCAGAGUGUUAGCACUCCCCCAAUAUCUAUUACAAUUAGUUUUUGAUUAAGGGACCCAGCACGUCUGUUUGAAGCCUUUAAUGUUGUGUCAACUGGAUGAUGAUAGAGAGAGCAGCAUGGACACCUCCCAGUAACAAAGAGGCUGGUAAAAUACUCCCAGUGAACCAUUUUAUCUUCUUAGUGGAAACCAGAUGACCCUUGCUUUUUUCUCCUUUUUUAAUGUUACACUAUUUGCUGGGGUGAUAUAUACUUGAACAACCCUCCCACUCGUGUAAUUUAUGCCAGGGUUUUAUUCCCUCACUCCUACAAAAUAAGGUUUCCUCCACUUUUUGCCUAUUGUCGGGUUUAUGAUACCAAUCUAGGUCUUGAGGGGGCUUAAUAACAAUGAAAACAUCACAUUUUUUGAUUAACACAGACUUGAGUUACUAAGAUUAUGAUCUUUUAGAAUACCACAAAAUGAUUUGUGUGUCAUCCUCUCUCAUCUUGACCCAGGUUUACCAAAUUGGAAAGAUAUGCAGUGGUCACACAGGAAUGUGACAUUAGGUAAAGUCAUAUUCCACAUAAAUGUAGUUUGAUGUCCGAGAGACUAUACAGGAGUACUGCACUGGUUUAAGGAAAGUUGGAUCCGAUGUUUUGAUAUGGUACUGUAAUAAGGUAUAUUUUGUUGAAACUACAUAAAAGCCAUCUAGCCAGCAUUUGCAAAAGUGCAGUUAUCUGAAAUAAAUCAACACCAUUUCAACCAGUAGUAUAACAGGUAAUAAUUGUUACUUACUUGGUGUUCUUGAUUUCUUUUUUGAAAUACUCUAUAAAAAGAUUUUAUAGAUUAGCUUCACGCCCUUAAUUUUGGACAAAUUACACCACCCAUAUAGAAACACUUUACAAGCACCAACCUGGCCUGGCAUCAACCUGGCCUGACAUUGAACAGACAGAGAACUGGCAAACCUUCACACUUUCAACAUUAGCUGUAUCUCCAAUCCCGUCUGAUGGAGAGUUGAAGUGCAUGAAAUGUAAAGCACUCGAAAACAUUUCACAGUUUAUUUCCUAAUUUUAGGGUAAUGAAAAAGGAAAAAACAUGUACACAAAUAUGCAGGUUUUAUGCAUAUAUUCCUAUGGUGUUUAUGUAUGAUCAACUGUUGAAAUGGUUCAUACAGAAGAAGUAAGCUCUCCAUGCCCUGACACAUUACUCAAGUGUCAGAAGCAUGGUUGCAAACAAUGAGGAAACGCUUCACAUUUCCACAAAAUCAUCAACAGAUUUUCAUGAGGGCAAAAAGAUGGUGAAUUCCAUUGAUGCCUAUGAUUACCCUCAUGUUUCUCCUGGACCCCCAAGGACUGACGAGUGUACACUGUGAAAGGACAGUACUUACAGCCUCGUCACUGAAUCACUAGCCUUGAAGUAGCCUUCAAUUCUCCUCUUUCACUAGCUUGACAUUUCAUUGAACAAGGUAACCACAUUUUUAUAUUAAAUUAAAAAAAUGACCAUGGACAAACAAAAGGGGACACUUCCUUUUAUUUCAUGGUCCACAAAAAUGUGUUUUUCUCAAGGACUUUAAAUGUUGGGGUUCAAAACCCAAUUUAAAUGUUUUUAUCAAGUAUGUGUAUCAUGUCCUUUCACAAUAAAUUAAUACAACUCUU